CAGCGCCACAAGUGGCAAUCGCGUUUAUUGGGCCUAAAGCGUCCGUAGCAGGUUUGGUAAAUCUUUUGUGAAAUCGUUAGGCUUAACCUAACGGAUUGCAGGAGACACUGCCAGACUAGGGACCGGGAGGAGUCAGAAGUAUUCUGGGGGGACCGGUAAAAUGGUAUAAUCCCCAGAGGACUACCGAUGGCGAAGGCAUCUGACCAGAACGGAUCCGACUGUGAGGGACGAAAGCUAGGGGAGCGAACCGGAUUAGAUACCCGAGUAGUCC
rnacentral:rRNA from 1 species